UACCAGCACCCCGAGUGGUCGGGACGUUUAUUGGGCCUAAAGCAUCCGUAGCCGGUUCUACAAGUCUUCCGUUAAAUCCACCUGCUUAACAGAUGGGCUGCGGAAGAUACUAUAGAGCUAGGAGGCGGGAGAGGCAAGCGGUACUCGAUGGGUAGGGGUAAAAUCCGUUGAUCCAUUGAAGACCACCAGUGGCGAAGGCGGCUUGCCAGAAUGCGCUCGGACGGUGAGGGAUGAAAGCUGGGGGAGCAACCGGAUUAGAUACCCUGGA
rnacentral:rRNA from 1 species